AUACAAUGGUGACGGCACUUCCUUAGAAGAUCUUUAAACUGCUCACAAGCAUCAUAUAGAGAUUCACCAUCAUUCUGACAAAAGUUAUUAAUUUCUUCCUUCAAUUU